UUUAAGUUUUGCAACAUCUGGAGAGCCACAGUUUGAGACCACUGCCAUGACAAUUCAUUAGCCCCUCUACAGCAGUCUAUUCUGGGUGCGUCUUCAUUUGGCAAAAUUGUAACAGCCGAAAUCAGGGCAAGGCCAGGAGAGCCUCCAAAAUACCCGCCAUAUAUGUGGAAGUACAUUGUACACCCAUCCAUAUCAGCAAUGAAGAAAACCCAAGCUGGAGCGCCACAACCUGUGCUGGCCCCCAACGACCGAACAUUGAUGGCCUACUCUAAGGAUAGAUCUUCCUGAGGGGCGGCAGGGUAGGCAGCAGACAGAGCCGCCCAGGACAGCAGCAGGAGGACAGGCAGACAGGACAUGUUGCUGUAGCUCAGGUCUCCAGUAAAAAAGAAGGUUUUUCCUUUGUCGUCAUCAUGAACAGCAGCAUCUAUUCUCAACACCGACUCUGGGAAUCCAAAAUAACCGAUAUCUCCAGGUUCUUUUACUUCCAAGUGAGAUUCAUUAAAGGACCAGAAAUGUCUCUCUAAAGCCUAGUAGGACUGUCACCUAUGUUUUUCUCUAUUUGCACCACAAAAAGACAGACUGGACAAGACAAAACACACAGAAAACAGCAAUAUAAAAAUGACCUGAAAAACAGUUGAUUGACCCUUAUAUAGGCUGUGGCAAUGACCCAAGCCAGACACAACAAAAACCUGGCAUGGGCUGGACCCGGGAUGAAAAUUCUGUAUGAGUGGCUGCCAAAAUCCUUUGGCCCUUACUAUUGACCGCAAUUCAGUUCACACAUAAUUCCGCCAAAAGAAUGAAGAUGUUAAUCCUUUAGAUGCAUAAAUUUCCAUGUGGAGAAGCUUACUGAUUUCAGUAAUAACCAUGUAAUGUUUUCUCUCCCAUGUGGUGGCACUGCAGGGAAAUCAAACACUUACCCCUGCACAGUUUACAGAUGAUCACAGGGGGUCCUAGCAGUGGGAUUCACUAGCAUCAGCUUAUUGUCAAAGGGUCCUUCUAACUAAAUGGCAUUGUCUAAAGUGGAGAACAGUUUCCUGGGAAAUGUGCUGAGUUACAUCUACAUGGACUGAAUUGGCUUUACACAUAUUAACAUGAGAUUAAUUGUUGGACAAUAAACAUCAACAAGUUGUUUGGGUCAAUGUAAAUGAAUAAAGAGUGGUUAGAAAUAGUGAAAAUAAUAGGAAUCCCUGAAAAAGAGUGCCAAGCAACAUUCAAAACAUAUUGGGAGACUACCAUUGUGUAGGUGUAAGUCAGUGUGAAUAACUUU